rnacentral:rRNA from 1 species
GACGAACGCUGGCGGCGUGCUUAACACAUGCCAGUCGAACGGAAAGGCCCUGCUUUUGUGGGGUGCUCGAGUGGCGAACGUGUGAGUAACACGUGAGUAACCUGCCCUUGACUUUGGGAUAACUUCAGGAAACUGGGGCUAAUACCGGAUAGGAGCUCCUGCUGCAUGGUGGGGGUUGGAAAGUUUCGGCGGUUGGGGAUGGACUCGCGGCUUAUCAGCUUGUUGGGGGGGUAGUGGCUUACCAAGGCUUUGACGGGUAGCCGGCCUGAGAGGGUGACCGGCAAAAUUGGGACUGAGAUACGGCCCAGACUCCUACGGGAGGCAGAAGUGGGGAAUAUUGCACAAUGGGGGGAAGCCUGAGGCAGCAACGCCGCGUGCGGGAUGACGGCCUUCGGGUUGUAAACCGCUUUGGCAUGUGACGAAGCGUGAGUGACGGUAAUGGGUAAAGAAGCACCGGCUAACUACGUG